rnacentral:tRNA from 1 species
GGGGAUGUGGCUCAGUGGUAGAGCACAUGCCUAGCAUGCUUGAGGCCCUGGAUUCUAUCCCCAACACUGCCU